UUGUGGCCAUAUCAUGUUGGGGCACUGGUUCCUGUAUGAUCACUGAAUUAAGCCACAUCGGGCUUGGUCAGUACCUCGAUGAGUGACCGCUUGUGAAUAGGAGGUGCAGCAAA